rnacentral:rRNA from 1 species
AGUAAUGCUUAGGAAUCUGCCUAUUAGUGGGGGACAACAUUCCGAAAGGAAUGCUAAUACCGCAUACGCCCUACGGGGGAAAGCAGGGGAUCUUCGGACCUUGCGCUAAUAGAUGAGCCUAAGUCGGAUUAGCUAGUUGGUGGGGUAAAGGCCUACCAAGGCGACGAUCUGUAGCGGGUCUGAGAGGAUGAUCCGCCACACUGGGACUGAGACACGGCCCAGACUCCUACGGGAGGCAGCAGUGGGGAAUAUUGGACAAUGGGCGGAAGCCUGAUCCAGCCAUGCCGCGUGUGUGAAGAAGGCCUUUUGGUUGUAAAGCACUUUAAGCGAGGAGGAGGCUACUUAGAUUAAUACUCUAGGAUAGUGGACGUUACUCGCAGAAUAAGCACCGGCUAACUCUGUGCCAGCAGCCGCGGUAAUACAGAGGGUGCGAGCGUUAAUCGGAUUUACUGGGCGUAAAGCGUGCGUAGGCGGCUGAUUAAGUCGGAUGUGAAAUCCCUGAGCUUAACUUAGGAAUUGCAUUCGAUACUGGUCAGCUAGAGUAUGGGAGAGGAUGGUAGAAUUCCAGGUGUAGCGGUGAAAUGCGUAGAGAUCUGGAGGAA